rnacentral:rRNA from 1 species
CAGCCGCCGCGGGAAUACGGAGGGGGCUGGCGUCGUUCGGAAUUACUGGUCGUAAAGCGCACGCAGGCGGCUCGAUAAAUUAGAAGUGAAAGCCUUGGGCUUAACCUGAGAAUUGCUUUUAAGACUGUCGAGCUAGAAUCCAGAAGAGGGUAGUGGAAUUCCGAGUGUAGAGGUGAAAUUCGUAGAUAUUCGGAAGAACACCAGUGGCGAAGGCGACUACCUGGUCUGGCAUUGACGCUCAUGUGCGAAAGCGUGGGGAGCAAACAGGAUUAGAGACCCCGGUAGUCCCUGUCUCUUAUAC